rnacentral:lncRNA from 1 species
CUUGUCUUCUUUCUUGUCUCAACGGAACUUAAUUAAAAACAGAGAGUUAUUCUGGUGAGUUCGAAAGUUUAACGAGCGAAACGAACGGAAAUGUUGAUUCUCGAGGAAAAGACAUAGUUGAGAUGGCCCAAGGAUAUACCUGCCGUAAAAUCUUUCAAAUUCCUUUUCUCGAUAAUAACAAAAUGGUCGGGGAAAUUUCGAGAGAUGGGAUAAAGAAGAAUACAGCUGUUGAGGGCAUAAUUCUUUUCUUGGACCACCUCCGACGAACUAUUAUUAGAAGAAUAUGAAAGAGGAAAUAAAAAAGAAAAAACAAGAAAUAAAGAAAGAAAGGAAGAAAGAAAGAAUAGGAGAAAAAUUCUUAUUUCUCACAAUUCGAUGUGACACAGUUGUGAAUUUUUGAACAAUGAAAUAAGACAAGGAAGUUUUCCAUUGACAAGGAAAAUUAAAGAAGAAUCUCUUGAUGAAGAAGUGGCUAGAUAGCUGGUAUAAGUACGCGUCACGCACACCAAUAUAAAAAUCCAUAGGCAAA